rnacentral:lncRNA from 1 species
GUUUAAUCGCCAUGGAGCCAAAGUCUUUACAGUCAGUUUCAUACGAAUGGGCUCCAUGGGAUUCCUAUCUGGGGUAUAACACAUUCAAACAAAUCUACCGAACCCCAGGCAGAAAAGCACGAAUACAGCUUUUCUGCAGGCAAAAAUAAAGUCUUUUAAAAGGGGGCCAUAGUCCAAAGGCAGCAGGCGAGCAACCAGGCUUCUCCAAUGCACUGUGGCGAGAUUGGUCUCGUCACAUCUCUCCCCUUUUACAAACAGACUAACAGGGUAUCUGACCUCCUGCCGGUCAGUGCCCUUGUUAGUCCAGCAGCCCACCCACAACAAAUGAUCAACAGCACAGCCCACCCACAAUAAAUGGUUACUACACCUGGGUAAAGGAGAAGCUUGUCCAUGUCCAGGUGCCUCACCACGGCUGGGCUACGGGUACGCUGACUUGGUGGGUUGCUGCGUGGGCAGAGACCAGCGGCACUCUGCCCUGUUGCCAGCGCUACUGGGAGGAUAGCCUGGUUGAAGCCUGGUUGUUGGAGGGGGAGACCGACUGUCUCCCCUUUAAAUACACUGCUCUGCUGCUGGAGACUGACUGUCUCCCCUUUAGAUGCACAGUCCUGCUGCUGGAGACCGACUGUCUCCCCUUUGGCUAAACAGCCCUGUCGCUGGGGGGCAGAACCGACCGUCCCUACCCCCUGUGCUGGCAGUGUAGAGACUACGGUCCCAUCUGCACAGUUGUGGGGCUUACUGUCUCCCCCUGAUACAUUAAGCUGCAGCUGGGGAGAGGGGGUAACAGGCUCCUCUCCCGAUAGAACACUCUGCCGCUGGGGAAAGGAGACUGAGCUCUCUAUUCCCUGCCCAUUAAUGAUCCGCCG